GUUCCGGUGGUUCCCAUCAGGAGCCUGGGGACAAAUGAGACCAGGAGGACAGCUUGUGUGCCUGACUUCACACUGGCUCAGUCAGAGUGUCUGCAGGUCCUGGCAAGAUUGUGGAGACAGCAAGAGAACAAGAGAAUGGGCUGUCUAUCUCUGCUUUACUCUGGUGUUAUUUGAAGACCAGUUUCUCUGUGUUCAUGUAUCUAAGCAUAAUGCGGCUACUUGGUUGUGAUGGAUGUCCCAAAGAAGAGACAAAAGAAGAGGCUAAUGCUCAGAAUUGACUAAUCUGGGCAGGUUAAUGCUACCAUGGAAUUCUUUUUCCCCAAGGUUAUUAUUGGUACAUUUGCAAGCUGUUGGUUUUGAAUAAUCGUUUUGCAUCAGGUAUCUUUACUGGAAAUGUUAA